UCACAAAACAAUCAAAUUGAAGGCUCAAACCUGAUCAAAAGCGAAAUCUGAACAUAGAUUAGUGAUCCUCAUCACAAGAGGGUUACAAGGAAAGGAAGCCGGGACAUCAAGCGGGCAAACCGGUGUAGACGCACGUUUGAAGGGCUUGCUUUAAAGGUGAUGAUUUGGAUCUUAAGGAUGACGGUCGAGCGGAUAAUGAAGAACCGAAC